AAAUAUUCCUGUACCGAUGUGUAGUGCGAUGUGGGGACGGAUCUUAAUAGGUCAUCCGGGUGUUGGAUAUCCCGGUUUAGUUGGAAGUAGGCGAUGGGUAGGCAAAUCCGCCCGUCAUAUACCGAGGCCAACGAUCGAGCCAGCUUGCUGGUGAAGUGACUGAACGAGGUUCUAGGAAAAGCCACUAAGCUUCAGCUAUACACGACCGUACCGCAAACCGACACUGGUGCGCGAGAUGAGUAUUCUAAGGCGCUUGAGAGAACUCAGGAGAAGGAACUCGGCAAAUUGACACCGUAACUUCGGAAGAAGGUGUGCCCUAUUAGUGUGAAGUGAACAACGGAGCAUGAAUGGGUUGCAAAAAAUCGGUGGCUGCGACUGUUUAUUAAAAACACAGCACUCUGCAAACACGAAAGUGGACGUAUAGGGUGUGACGCCUGCCCGGUGCUGGAAGAUUAAAUGAUGGGGUGCAAGCUCUUGAUUGAAGUCCCAGUAAACGGCGGCCGUAACAAUAACGGUCCUAAGGUAGCAAAAUUCCUUGUCGGGUAAGUUCCGACCUGCACGAAUGGCGUAACGAUGGCCACACUGUCUCCUCCUGAGACUCAGCGAAGUUGAAAUGUUUGUGAUGAUGCAAUCUCCCCGCGGAAAGACGGAAAGACCCCAUGAACCUUUACCGUAGCUUUGUAUUGGACUUUGAACAGAUCUGUGUAGGAUAGGUGGGAGGCUUUGAAGCAGGGUCGCUAGAUCUUGUGGAGCCAACGUUGAAAUACCACCCUGGUGUGUUUGAGGUUCUAACCUAGGUCCAUCAUCUGGAUCGGGGACAGUGCAUGGUAGGCAGUUUGACUGGGGCGGUCUCCUCCCAAAGCGUAACGGAGGAGUUCGAAGGUACGCUAGUUACGGUCGGGCAUCGUGACGAUAGUGCAAUGGCAUAAGCGUGCCUAACUGCGAGACUGACAAGUCGAGCAGAUGCGAAAGCAGGACAUAGUGAUCCGGUGGUUCUGUAUGGAAGGGCCAUCGCUCAACGGAUAAAAGGUACUCUGGGGAUAACAGGCUGAUACCGCCCAAGAGUUCAUAUCGACGGCGGUGUUUGGCACCUCGAUGUCGGCUCAUCUCAUCCUGGGGCUGUAGCCGGUCCCAAGGGUAUGGCUGUUCGCCAUUUAAAGAGGUACGUGAGCUGGGUUUAAAACGUCGUGAGGCAGUUUGGUCCCUAUCUUCCGUGGGCGCUGCAGAUUUGAGGAAGCCUGCUCCUAGUACGAGAGGACCGGAGUGGACACACCUCUGGUGUAUCGGUUGUCACGCCAGUGGCAUUGCCGAGUAGCUAAGUGUGGAAGAGAUAACCGCUGAAAGCAUCUAAGCGGGAAACUCGUUUCAAGAUGAGAUCUGCCGGGGCCUUGAGCCCCCUGAAGAGUCGUUCAAGACCAGGACGUUGAUAGGUCAGGUGUGGAAGCGCAGUAAUGCGUUAAGCUAACUGAUACUAAUUGCUCGUGCGGCUUGACCU
rnacentral:rRNA from 1 species